AGUGAACGCUGGCGGUAGGCCUAACACAUGCAAGUCGAACGGCAGCACAGUAAGAGCUUGCUCUUACGGGUGGCGAGUGGCGGACGGGUGAGGAAUACAUCGGAAUCUACUUUUUCGUGGGGGAUAACGUAGGGAAACUUACGCUAAUACCGCAUACGACCUACGGGUGAAAGCAGGGGAUCUUCGGACCUUGCGCGAUUGAAUGAGCCGAUGUCGGAUUAGCUAGUUGGCGGGGUAAAGGCCCACCAAGGCGACGAUCCGUAGCUGGUCUGAGAGGAUGAUCAGCCACACUGGAACUGAGACACGGUCCAGACUCCUACGGGAGGCAGCAGUGGGGAAUAUUGGACAAUGGGCGCAAGCCUGAUCCAGCCAUGCCGCGUGUGUGAAGAAGGCCUUCGGGUUGUAAAGCCCUUUUGUUGGGAAAGAAAAGCAGCAGGUUAAUACCUUGCUGUUCUGACGGUACCCAAAGAAUAAGCACCGGCUAACUUCGUG
rnacentral:rRNA from 1 species